CAGUCUGACAACAUCACCCAAUGUUUCCAGAUUGCGAGCCCGGUAGUUGCAUUCCCCAAAUUUUUCUUUGCAGCAAUUCAAGCAGGAGCUCCGCUGUUUCUGAGUUGGAGUUUUACUUACAUGGGUAUCACUCGUGAUGUGUCCAUGUUACUCAAUCGCCUGCAUCACGGCACAACUUGGAACCUUCGAAUUAAAACUAGAGAAUGAGAACGAGAUGGUCACGGCUUGAUUUAUCACCUGAAUGGAUCGGAGGUUAUACUCCGUGAUAUCUGCCUUCUCAGAUGACUUAGGGUGCCAUUCACCCUCUCAUCAAUCUACAUGCGUUACUGCCCAAUCCGAGAGAUGGGCAGCGUCCAUCAACUGAACCAGGAACAUUACACUAGCUGUCAGGAACAGAGUACAAUCGGUCAUUGCCGACUACCAAACCUUAAUCUAAUGGUCCAGCAGGGGUGGAAUAAAUAUGAUUCAAGGACGCAGCCCUCUUGAAUUUCGAAGUAGAACACUCUAAGACGAAUUAGCUGCUGUAUUGAUCAAGUAUUAUACGAAGAAGGACGUUCAAAAUUUAUGCAACUUAGAUGACCUCUUAAAAGUUGCUGCAAAAUCAUCCAUAGGAUCAGCUUUCUCUACUAUUAAAUAAUAGCUGAAACACCUAGCCAUUUCUUCAUUAGAGGCACCAUAUCUUAUACUAAUUUCUCAGGUCCUAAUACAUUAAUUAUGCUUACAAAGAAAAUCCUAUGCUUAAGCUCCAUCACUACUUUAUUUUGGACAUGUCAAUGUCUUAUUUCUUAGAUAAUAGGUUAUUACUUGGAUGAAUGAUUCUAUAGGUUUUUUUCAUCUAGAAGAUGAAAAGAUGAAAUAUACUACAUUACUCAA